CAACAGGGAUUACCUCAGUAACGGCGAGUGAAGCGGUAACAGCUCAAAUUUGAAAUCUGGCCCUUUCAGGGUCCGAGAUUGUAAUUUGUAGAAGAUGCUUCGGGUGUAGCUCCGGUCUAAGUUCCUUGGAACAGGACGUCAUAGAGGGUGAGAAUCCCGUAUGUGACUGGUUGCUUUCGCCCAUGUGAAGCUCUUUCGACGAGUCGAGUUGUUUGGGAAUGCAGCUCUAAAUGGGUGGUAAAUUUCAUCUAAAGCUAAAUAUUGGCCAGAGACCGAUAGCGCACAAGUAGAGUGAUCGAAAGAUGAAAAGCACUUUGGAAAGAGAGUUAAACAGUACGUGAAAUUGUUGAAAGGGAAGCGCUUGCAACCAGACUUGCACGCAGUUGAUCAUCCGGUGUUCUCACUGGUGCACUCUGCUGCGUUCAGGCCAGCAUCGGUUUUGGUGGUUGGAUAAAGGCCUUGGGAAUGUAGCUUCUUUCGGGGAGUGUUAUAGCCCUCGGUGCAAUGCAGCCUACCGGGACCGAGGACCGCGCUUCGGCUAGGAUGCUGGCGUAAUGGUUGUAAGCGACCCGUCUUGAAACACGGACCAAGGAGUCUAACAUCUAUGCGAGUGUUUGGGUGUCAAACCCAUACGUGUAAUGAAAGUGAACGGAGGUGAGAACCCUUAAGGGUGCAUCAUC
rnacentral:rRNA from 1 species